rnacentral:rRNA from 1 species
UACGUAGGGGGCUAGCGUUGUCCGGAUUUAUUGGGCGUAAAGAGCGUGUAGGCGGCCAGGUAAGUCUGGUGUGAAAACUCGAGGCUUAACCUCGAGAUGUCAUCGGAAACCAUCUGGCUAGAGUCCGGAAGAGGAGAGUGGAAUUCCUGGUGUAGCGGUGAAAUGCGCAGAUAUCAGGAAGAACACCAAUGGCGAAAGCAGCUCUCUGGGACGGUACUGACGCUGAGACGCGAAAGCGUGGGGAGCGAACAGG